rnacentral:rRNA from 1 species
UACCCUAAGCGGUGGAUCACUCGGAACGUACGUCGAUGAAGAGCGGAGCCAGCUCCGUGAAGUAUUGUGAAUUGCAGGA